rnacentral:rRNA from 1 species
UACGGAGGGUGCGAGCGUUGUCCGGAAUCAUUGGGCGUAAAGGGCGCGUAGGUGGCGGCUUAAGCGUGCGGUGAAAGCUCGGGGCUCAACCCCGAGUCGGCCGUGCGAACUGAGUCGCUUGAGCACUGUAGAGGCAGGCGGAAUUCCGGGUGUAGCGGUGGAAUGCGUAGAGAUCGGGAGGAACACCGGUGGCGAAGGCGGUUCUCUGGGCCUUACCUGACGCUGAGGAGCGAAAGCGUGGGGAGCGAACAGG